rnacentral:rRNA from 1 species
CACAUCCUACGGGAGGCAGCAGUGGGGAAUAUUGCACAAUGGGGGAAACCCUGAUGCAGCGACGCCGCGUGAAGGAAGAAGUAUUUCGGUAUGUAAACUCCUCUCAGCAGGGAAGAAAAUGACGGUACCUGACUAAGAAGCCCCGGCUAACUACGUGCCAGCAGCCGCGGUAAUACGUAGGGGGCAAGCGUUAUCCGGAUUUACUGUGUGUAAAGGGAGCGUAGGCGGCAGUGCAAGUCAGAAGUGAAAGCCCGGGGCUCAACUCCGGGACUGCUUUUGAAACUGUACAGCUUGCUUGCAGGCGA